rnacentral:rRNA from 1 species
UGCUAUACAUGCAGUCGAGCGAACAGACGAGGAGCUUGCUCCUCUGACGUUAGCGUGCGGACGGGUGAGUAACACGUGGAUAACCUACCUAUAAGACUGGGAUAACUUCGGGAAACCGGACUAAUACCGGAUAACAUGUUGAACCGCAUGGUUCAACAGUGAAAGACGGUCUUGCUGUCACUUAUAGAUGGGAUCCGCGCCGCAUUAGCUAGUUGGCUAAGGUAACGGCUUACCAAGGGCAACGAUGCGUAGCCGACCUGAGAGGGUGAUCGGCCACACUGGAACUGAGACACGGUCCUUAGACUCCUACGGGAGGCAGCAGUCAGGGAAUCUUCCGCAAUGGGCGAAAGCCUGACGGAGCAACGCCGCGUGAGUGAAGAAGGUCUUCGGAUCGUAAAACUCUGUUAUUAGGGAAGAACAA